GGACCCGCACAAGCGGUGGAUGAUGUGGAUUAAUUCGAUGCAACGCGAAAAACCUUACCUACCCUUGACAUGUCCAGAAGCCCGAAGAGAUUUGGGUGUGCCCGAAAGGGAGCUGGAACACAGGUGCUGCAUGGCUGUCGUCAGCUCGUGUCGUGAGAUGUUGGGUUAAGUCCCGCAACGAGCGCAACCCUUGUCGUUAAUUGCCAUCAUUUAGUUGGGCACUUUAACGAGACUGCCGGUGACAAACCGGAGGAAGGUGGGGAUGACGUCAAGUCCUCAUGGCCCUUAUGGGUAGGGCUUCACACGUCAUACAAUGGUCGGUACAGAGGGUUGCCAAGCCGCGAGGUGGAGCCAAUCCCAGAAAGCCGAUCGUAGUCCGGAUUGCAGGCUGCAACUCGCCUGCAUGAAGUCGGAAUCGCUAGUAAUCGCGGAUCAGCAUGUCGCGGUGAAUACGUUCCCGGGUCUU
rnacentral:rRNA from 1 species